CUGUCGAUAGGUCAGUUGGUAGAGCGGAGGACUGUAGUUGCACCUAUCCUUAAGUCGCUGGCUCAAAUCCGGCUCGAUGGA